UUUCUUUUUUUUUUUUUCAGUUAAAUGUUUACCAUGGAUUGUCUCUGUAUCCACCUGCUCCCAUGCUCCGCCUCGUCUGGAAUUUGUCAAUCGCUGGAGGUCCAUUGUCACUCUCACUGCUAAUUAUCUUGAUCUGGGGAGCAGAGGAAGGGCAGAUGGUCUUCUGCAGUUCAAGCAGACACAAGGAACAGGGGUAAACCAGCUGCUAUGCUGCAAGAACAUCAUCCAGACAGAGGCCAGGAACUGAGGCCAGCAGCAAAGGUGAAAUUGAGUCUUCCUGCCUACAGUCAUAUGAGUGUGUGGCCUUAGGUGUGACUCCUUGAACACCUGUCAGCCUUCAGGUGGUAGUGACCCAGUCAACAGCUGAGAGACAU